CGGAGGGAGCAAGCGUUACUCGGAAUUAUUGGGCGUAAAGGGCGCGUAGGCGAUCUGACAAGUCUCGUGUGAAAGCCCAGAGCUUAACUCUGGAAGGGCACGAGAUACUGUUGGAUUUGAGUUCCGGAGAGGAAGAUGGAAUUCCCGGUGUAGCGGUGAAAUGCGCAGAUAUCGGGAGGAACACCAGUGGCGAAGGCGAUCUUCUGGACGGAUACUGACGCUGAGGCGCGAAAGCUAGGGGAGCAAACGGGAUUAGAUACCCCGGUAGUCCUAGCCGUAAACGAUGUACACUUGGUGUGUCCGCCUUUGGCGGAUGUGCCGUAGUUAACGCAAUAAGUGUACCGCCUGGGGAGUACGGUCGCAAGGCUG
rnacentral:rRNA from 1 species